AUUGAACGCUGGCGGCAGGCCUAACACAUGCAAGUCGAGCGGAGCGGCGGACGGGGAAGUAAUGCCUAGGAAUCUGCCUGGUCGUGGUGGAUCACGUCCAGAAACGGGCGCUAAUACCGCAUCCUAUCAGAUGAGCCUAGGUCGGAUUAGCUAGUUGGUGGGGUAAAGGCCUACCAAGUCGACGAUCCGUAGCUGGUCUGAGAGGAUGAUCAGUCACACUGGAACUGAGACACGGUCCAGACUCCUACGGGAGGCAGCAGUGGGGAAUAUUGGGCAAUGGGCGAAAGCCUGAUCGAGCCAUGCCGCGUGUGUGAAGAAGGUCUUCGGAUUGUAAAGCACUGUAAGUUGGGAGGCGUUACCUACAGAAUAAGCAACGGCUAACUUCGUGCCAGCAGCCGCGGUAAUUC
rnacentral:rRNA from 1 species